rnacentral:rRNA from 1 species
GAUGAACGCUGGCGGCGUGCCUAACACAUGCAAGUCGAGCGAUUUACUUCGGUAAAGAGCGGCGGACGGGUGAGUAACGCGUGGGUAACCUGCCCUGUACACACGGAUAACAUACCGAAAGGUAUGCUAAUACGAGAUAAUAUACUUUUAUCGCAUGGUAGAAGUAUCAAAGCUCCGGCGGUACAGGAUGGACCCGCGUCUGAUUAGCUAGUUGGUAAGGUAACGGCUUACCAAGGCGACGAUCAGUAGCCGACCUGAGAGGGUGAUCGGCCACAUUGGAACUGAGACACGGUCCAAACUCCUACGGGAGGCAGCAGUGGGGAAUAUUGCACAAUGGGCGAAAGCCUGAUGCAGCAACGCCGCGUGAGCGAUGAAGGCCUUCGGGUCGUAAAGCUCUGUCCUCAGGGAAGAUAAUGACGGUACUUGAGGAGGAAGCCCCGGCUAACUACGUGCCAGCCGCCGCCGUAACAC